AUGGUGCAAUAUGCCUGGAACCGCCCAACAACAACACGAUGCGCUUUUGCGAGGCUACAUGAGAAAAUGAGAAGGGUAGCUAUGGAUCUCAAAAUCUGGAGCAAAUCUCAGUUUGGAGGGGCCAAGCUUCAUAUGCACAUUGCAACAGAAGUCGUCCUACGCCUAGAUGUUGCUCAAGAAACUAGAGCCCUCUCUGACGCAGAAUUUCACAUUAGGAAAAUGCUUAAACUCAAAAUCUUAGGCCUUGCUGCAAUUGAUCGAGCACGGAAGCGCCAGGCAUCUAGGAUUACUUGGCUGCGUGCUGGAGACGCGCCAACCGCCUUCUUCCAAGCGAAGAUAAAUGCCAGGAGACGGAAAGCAUUCAUCCACAUGCUCCACGGUCCGUCCGGUGUAGUCACCAGGCAAGAGGACAAGGAAACCUUGAUCUACGACCACUUUUCCUCUUUGCUGGGCACGGCAACACACCGCGGCACAACCAUUGGCUGGCGCUCACUUGACAUGCCCAGGCUGCAGGGUGGAGGACUGGACAACCCAUUCACGGAGGAUGAGGUGUGGAGUGCUAUCAAGGCGUCACCGGCAGAUCGAGCGCCGGGCCCGGACGGCUUCUCUGGCACCUUCUUCAGGGCAUGCUGGGCAACUAUCAAAGACGACAUCAUGGCUGCGUUCAAUCAGUUUUACAACUUAGUAGGCAGCAAUUUUGGAGCUCUCAACACCGCGGUCGUCGCACUACUGCCAAAGAAAGACGGAGCGACGACAAUCAACGACUACAGGCCAAUUAGCCUCAUCCACUCCAUAGCAAAGCUCAUAUCCAAAGUACUUUCCCUCAGGCUUGCUAGUGUGAUCCACACGCUCAUCUCGCCAGCGCAGUCGGCUUUUCUUAGGACUAAGUGCAUUCACGAUAGCUUCCUAUAA
rnacentral:rRNA from 1 species